AUUUGAGUCCAGAAAUUACAACAGAAGAUAUCAAGUCAGCAUUUGCCCCCUUUGGUAAAAUAUCAAUUGCUCAUAAGAAUGGACAGGAUCUUGAAGGCUAACUGCAAGGAACUGUGCACACUGGAACUCAGUUGUAGAUUUUUUUUCUCAUUUCUAUUUAUUCUUAUUAUACAUUAUUUAUAUAUACAUAUUUUAGUAUUUACAUUUUAACAUUCUAUAUUCAGUGGAGUUCUAUAUUUCCAAUCAUUUUAACUUACUCACUAAAAUUUCUGUGUAAAUUUGUUGUUUUCGUACUGGUGUGCUUAGCGUUGUUGUUAGUUUUUUAUUCUCCUUUCUUAAAUUUCUGAAAAUGUCAAUUUUUCAAAAUUUACAGCUGCCCAAACUCCAAAAUGAUGAUAGAGAAUUGACCAAGAAAAAUAAAGAAAUCUGUUAACAGGCCAUGGAUGCCCGGGUAGUUAAAGAUAUGGCAACUGGAAAGUCCAAAGGCUAUGGUUUUGUAUCUUUUUAUAACAAACUGGAUGCAGAGAAUGCAAUUGUGCAUAUGGGGGGUCAGUGGUUGGGAGGUCGACAAAUCAGAACCAAUUGGGCCACACGUAAACCACCUGCCCCUAAAAGUACACAAGAAACUAACACUAAGCAGUUGAGAUUUGAAGAUGUAGUAAACCAGUCAAGUCCAAAAAACUGCACUGUGUACUGUGGGGGGAUCGCUUCGGGGCUGACAGAUCAACUUAUGAGACAAACAUUUUCACCAUUUGGACAAAUUAUGGAGAUAAGAGUUUUUCCAGAGAAGGGGUAUUCGUUUGUCAGAUUUUCAACUCAUGAAAGUGCAGCCCAUGCUAUUGUUUCUGUGAACGGUACUACAAUCGAAGGACAUGUGGUUAAAUGCUAUUGGGGUAAAGAAUCUCCUGAUAUGACUAAAAACUUCCAACAGGUAAUUCGAUUUUUCUUAGCACUUUUUGCGGUUUCCAUCUUACAUGUCUACAUAGGAGCUUUGGAAAUUGUAAAAUAAACAGUAAAAUAAAGCGUAUAGCUGCUUUCAGUUGAUUGUGUAAAAUGCUAUUUCAAAAUUGUUUUGCGGUAUUAACUGAAUCUUAAUACUUUCUUUUCACAGGUGUCACCACCCCAAUAAACUUAGACAAUGAUAAAUAACAGAGUCCUAUUCACAUAAGGGUGCUUACUUAGUUUUUCUCUUCCUUGUCUCCCACUCUUUCUUCAAAUACGGUGUUUUGUUCUUGUUCCCUAAAACAGUCAUUUGCUUCUUUCCUAGGUUGACUACAGUCAGUGGGGCCAAUGGAGCCAAGUGUAUGGAAACCCACAACAGUACGGACAGUAUAUGGCAAAUGGGUGGCAAGUACCUCCCUAUGGAGUAUAUGGGCAGCCAUGGAACCAACAAGGAUUUGGAGUAGAUCAAUCACCUUCUGCUGCUUGGAUGGGUGGAUUUGGUGCUCAGCCUCCACAAGGACAAGCUCCGCC
rnacentral:lncRNA from 1 species